GCUUGCAGAUAAACCAGCUUUCAAGAACCAUGAUUAGAGACCCCUGAGGGACCCCUGAGGUUCACAACUGACAACCCACUGAAGCUAAGCAGGUGUGAGCCUGGUCAGUACCUGGAUGGGAGACCUCCUGGGAAAAACUAAGGUUGCUGCUGGAA
rnacentral:rRNA from 1 species